GUGGUGGUGGUGGUUUUUUUUUUUUAAACUAAAACUGCACUGACUCAAAGACACAGAAAUGAGUUAAUUUCAGCAGGUUUCUAUUGUGUGUAAAACAACUGAUCUGAUUUACGGUAACACUUAAUAAAGUGUUGGAAGUUCAAAUACAGAUCUGGCUAAAGUAGUAAGAGUCACAACUCAAUCUAGGGAAAAUUGCGUUUCUAUGAAGAAGUUAUUUCCAUGAAAAAUAUUAACUGUCCAGCCAUAUAAGUUGAGCAGGACUGUCCUGAAAGAGCUGCACAUGUUGUUUUUGAGAAGUAACUUUCCCUAUCCUUCUUAAGCUCCAAAAUUGCUGAACUGAUUUUGCUUCUCAAUAGCGUACUUGGUGGUAAUUCCGCACUGGCUGAAUUCAGGCCUGGAUCAGACACACAAGAAGAAAAAUCAAGUAACUGAGUGACUGAAAAGAACGUUGAGAUACACAUAUGCAUUCUCAAACAAGUGUAGUAUGAAUUCGGAAUAAUGGAAAUUUUGUGCUUGAUGCAACAUAAUGUGUAGAAGGCUGCAGCUAAUUGCAAAAGAUGGUGCCUGGAUGUUGCCCAAGGCCUAGCAGUGGAAAGAAAGCGUGGCUCACUAAGCCAAAUUUCUUUUUGCCUUCCCCUCCCUUUUAAAGGAUAUCAGCUUGUUAUUGAGGAGAGCUGUGUGAAGAAUGGUAGUAGUACUUCAUAAAGCAUUUUAAAAUUCGGAUUGCAAUUUCAUGAAAGGAAUUUUUUUCAUUUAAUUUCUUUUGUAGUAUACAAAAGUUUCUGUAUGUCUACUUCAGAAAAGGGAAAUAAUAUAUUCAUGUUUGAUCUCUUCCUAAAUUAAAUUCCAGUGUAAAGGCUUAAAUUCAGUCCGGCUAGACUUUGAUAUUGUCACACUGUCUAAUGGAGCGUAUGGUUCUGUUGAUGUUUUUCUGACCAUCUCUUCUGCUGAUGCAUUCCAGCAGUAAAUGACUAAUCUUUUCUUUCUGAAUCAUCUUACUAGCUGAGAAGACAGCCAGUGUGUGGUGUGUUUUUGUUUUUACUUUUGAUUUUGUUUUUUAAACCCCCAUCUUUCUCCCACUCUUUUUCCCUGGCCAUCUGGGCUUUUCAGAGAAUAAGAAAUGACAAGUGUUUUCUGCAUCUGCAAGUUUAAACAGUCUCUUAAACAGAAGGAAAGAAGCGCUUUCCGCGUAUUCAUAAAAAGGAGAAUAAGCAGAAGCCCUGCAAUAACUGAAGUCUGCCAGCACUUUAGGAAAAAUACAAUAUCCUAAAAAUUACGAGUAGUUUUUGUCAGAAUGUGAUGAUAUGAAGAGAGCCAGUGCCAUCUUUAAAAGGAAACUGAAAUGGAGCAUAUCUUGCGGCUGAACUCAAGACCUAAUUCUGCCAGUUCCACUGAGUGCAGGAACCAAGGCAUUGAAGUGCAUUUAUAGAUGGAAGUAAAGCUGUGUGCUCAUCCUAUAAUGUAUGUUGAACGUUUGGACCAACAUAGUUACAUACAGCAGGAACUAGGAAGUACGUCAUAGAGUGAAGGAAUCAGAAAACAAUUCAAUCCGUUGGAAUCAUGAGGACUUGUUGAGGGAGCCAGGCCAUCCAGUAGUUCUCUUGUUCAUAAAUGUUGACCUCUCAAAAAAUAGCACGAGGGCACUUCAUGCAAUUUGGGGUUUUUUGCACACAGAAGUCGUAUUUCUUAAAUGUGUAAGUGAUUCUCUUUGGUCACACCUGAAGCCUUUCCAUUUCAGAUGCAGCCUGUC